UACGGAGGGGACUAGCGUUGUUCGGAAUUACUGGGCGUAAAGCGCACGUAGGCGGAUUUGUAAGUCAGGGGUGAAAUCCCGGGGCUCAACCUCGGAACUGCCUUUGAUACUGCAAAUCUCGAGUCCGGAAGAGGUGAGUGGAAUUCCCAGUGUAGCGGUGAAAUGCGUAGAUAUUGGGAGGAACACCGGUGGCGAAGGCGGCCCCCUGGGCUGGUACUGACGCUGAUGCGCGAAAGCGUGGGUAGCAAACGGG
rnacentral:rRNA from 1 species